GCGGCAACAGCUCAAAUUUGAAAUCUGGCUCUCUUUGGGAGUCCGAGUUGUAAUUUGCAGAGGAUGCUUUGGCAUUGGCGGCGGUCUAAGUUCCUUGGAACAGGACAUCGCAGAGGGUGAGAAUCCCGUACGUGGGCGCCUGCCUUUGCCGUGUAAAGCUCCUUCGACGAGUCGAGUUGUUUGGGAAUGCAGCUCUAAAUGGGAGGUAAAUUUCUUCUAAAGCUAAAUACCGGCCAGAGACCGAUAGCGCACAAGUAGAGUGAUCGAAAGAUGAAAAGUACUUUGGAAAGAGAGUCAAAAAGCACGUGAAAUUGUUGAAAGGGAAGCGCUUGCAGCCAGACUUGCCCGCAGUUGCUCACCUAGGCUUUGGCCUGGGGCACUCUUCUGCGGGCAGGCCAGCAUCAGUUUGGGCGGUCGGAUAAAGGCCUCUGUCAAGUAUCUCCCUUCGGGGUGACCUUAUAGGGGAGGCGUAAUGCGACCAGCCCGGACUGAGGUCCGCGCAUCUGCUAGGAUGCUGGCGUAAUGGCUGUAAGCGGCCCGUCUUGAAACACGGACCAAGGAGUCUAACAUCUAUGCGAGUGUUUGGGUGUCAAGCCCGGGCGCGCAAUGAAAGUGAACGGAGGUGGGAACCCUUUGGGUGCACCAUCGACCGAUCCUGAUGUCUUCGGAUGGAUUUGAGUAAGAGCAUAGCUGUUGGGACCCGAAAGAUGGUGAACUAUGCUUGAAUAGGGUGAAGCCAGAGGAAACUCUGGUGGAGGCUCGCAGCGGUUCUGACGUGCAAAUCGAUCGUCAAAU
rnacentral:rRNA from 1 species